UGGGGAAUAUUGCACAAUGGGGGAAACCCUGAUGCAGCGACGCCGCGUGGGCGACGAAGCGCUCCGGCGCGUAAAGCCCUGUCAGCAGGGAAGAAAAAAGACAGUACCUGACCAAGAAGCCCCGGCUAACUACGUGCCAGCAGCCGCGGUAAUACGUAGGGGGCAAGCGUUAUCCGGAUUCACUGGGCGUAAAGGGAGCGCAGGCGGCACGGCAAGUCUGGUGUGAAAGCCCGGGGCCCAACCCCGGGACUGCAUUGGAAACUGCCGGGCUGGAGUGCCGGAGGGGUAAGCGGAAUUCCUGGUGUAGCGGUGAAAUGCGCAGAUAUCAGGAAGAACACCGGUGGCGUAGGCGGCUUACUGGACGGCAACUGACGCUGAGGCUCGAAAGCGUGGGGAGCAAACAGG
rnacentral:rRNA from 1 species